rnacentral:rRNA from 1 species
GACGAACGCUGGCGGCGUGCCUAAUACAUGCAAGUCGAGCGAGCGGAACUAACAGAUUUACUUCGGUAAUGACGUUAGGAAAGCGAGCGGCGGAUGGGUGAGUAACACGUGGGGAACCUGCCCCAUAGUCUGGGAUACCACUUGGAAACAGGUGCUAAUACCGGAUAAGAAAGCAGAUCGCAUGAUCAGCUUUUAAAAGGCGGCGUAAGCUGUCGCUAUGGGAUGGCCCCGCGGUGCAUUAGCUAGUUGGUAAGGUAAAGGCUUACCAAGGCGAUGAUGCAUAGCCGAGUUGAGAGACUGAUCGGCCACAUUGGGACUGAGACACGGCCCAAACUCCUACGGGAGGCAGCAGUAGGGAAUCUUCCACAAUGGACGCAAGUCUGGUGGAGCAACGCCGCGUGAGUGAAGAAGGUUUUCAGAUCGUAAAGCUCUGUUGUUGGUGAAGAAGGAUAGAGGUAGUAACUGGCCUUUAUUUGACGGUAAUCAACCAGAAAGUCACGGCUAACUACGUGCCAGCAGCCGCGGUAAUACGUAGGUGGCAAGCGUUGUCCGGAUUUAUUGGGCGUAAGCGAGCGCAGGCGGAAUAAUAAGUCUGAUGUGAAAGCCCUCGGCUUAACCGAGGAACUGCAUCGGAAACUGUUUUUCUUGAGUGCAGAAGAGGAGAGUGGAACUCCAUGUGUAGCGGUGGAAUGCGUAGAUAUAUGGAAGAACACCAGUGGCGAAGGCGGCUCUCUGGUCUGCAACUGACGCUGAGGCUCGAAAGCAUGGGUAGCGAACAGGAUUAGAUACCCUGGUAGUCCAUGCCGUAAACGAUGAGUGCUAAGUGUUGGGAGGUUUCCGCCUCUCAGUGCUGCAGCUAACGCAUUAAGCACUCCGCCUGGGGAGUACGACCGCAAGGUUGAAACUCAAAGGAAUUGACGGGGGCCCGCACAACCGGUGGAGCAUGUGGUUUAAUUCGAAGCAACGCGAAGAACCUUACCAGGUCUCGACAUCUAGUCCCAUUUGUAGAGAUACAAAGUUCCCUUCGGGGACGCUAAGACAGGUGGUGCAUGGCUGUCGUCAGCUCGUGUCGUGAGAUGUUGGGUUAAGUCCCGCAACGAGCGCAACCCUUGUUAUUAGUUGCCAGCAUUAAGUUGGGCACUCUAAUGAGACUGCCGGUGACAAACCGGAGGAAGGUGGGGAUGACGUCAAGUCAUCAUGCCCCUUAUGACCUGGGCUACACACGUGCUACAAUGGGCAGUACAACGAGAAGCGAGCCUGCGAAGGCAAGCCCAAUCUCUGAAAGCUGUUCUCAGUUCGGACUGCAGUCUGCAACUCGACUGCACGAAGUUGGAAUCGCUAGUAAUCGCGGAUCAGCACGCCGCGGUGAAUACGUUCCCGGGCCU